rnacentral:rRNA from 1 species
GAUGAACGCUGGCGGCGUGCUUAACACAUGCAAGUCGAACGAGAAAUGUAGACGGAAACCUUCGGGCGGAAGCCUUCAUUUCGAGUGGCGGACGGGUGAGUAACGCGUGGGUAACCUGCCUCAUACAGGGGGAUAACAGUUGGAAACGACUGUUAAUACCGCAUAAGACCACAGCAUCGCAUGAUGCGGGGGUAAAAACUCCGGUGGUAUGGGAUGGACCCGCGUUCGAUUAGCCAGUUGGCGGGGUAACGGCCCACCAAAGCGACGAUCGAUAGCCGAGCUGAGAGGAUGACCGGCCACAUUGGGACUGAGACACGGCCCAAACUCCUACGGGAGGCAGCAGUGGGGAAUAUUGCACAAUGGGGGAAACCCUGAUGCAGCGACGCCGCGUGAGUGAAGAAGUACUUCGGUAUGUAAAGCUCUAUCAGCAGGGAAGAAAAUGACGGUACCUGAGGAAGAAGCCCCGGCUAACUACGUG